rnacentral:rRNA from 1 species
GACGUAGGGCGCAAGCGUUGUCCGGAUUUAUUGGGCGUAAAGAGCUCGUAGGCGGCUUGUCACGUCGGGUGUGAAAGCCCUCGGCUCAACCGAGGAAGUGCGCCCGAAACUGCAUGGCUUGAGUACCGGAGAGGGUGGCGGAAUUCCCCAAGUAGAGGUGAAAUGCGCAGAUAUCAGGAGGAACACCGGUGGCGAAGGCGGGUCUCUGGGCAACAACUGACGCUGAGGAGCGAAAGCGUGGGGAGCGAACAGG